UUUGAGGGUCCAAGUGUUCUUUUAUCAAAAGGAAUUAGUAAAUAAAUAAGGGGCAUAUAAAAAAGUGGGUUGGUUUUUAUCAUUGACUGUUUGUGGUUGAUUGAACGAACUGCGAAGAAAUUUCAGAUUGUCUUUUCUAUCGAGUAGACGAAACCAUGACUCAUAUCCUUUUUUCUUUUUUUCUUUUUCAAUAUAUGAUUUCGAAUUUAAUUAAUGUCUAUUAAUGUUGUUGCAAUUAUUAAACAAUUAAUUACUGGUUAGCUUUUUCCUUAAUUCAUUGCUUUUCGAUUUUGGAUUCGAAUCUCACGCGGAAACCAGAGAGAACGCGAUCGCGAGAGAGCGGCCGCUCGCGGCAGCAAGGGAAAGACCAAGGACGACGGCUUGACUCCCGAACAACGCCGCGAAAG
rnacentral:lncRNA from 1 species